AUGGUAUCUUUUAAGGACUGGACAUCAACAGCCAUCCAUGAUUCUGAGGAUGCCGAGUUGGAGCCACCUGUAUACAAAGCUUGCAUUGCAACAUAUUCCUGUCCCUCAUGGAAAGGUGUGGCCUUCACCUCCACGGGUUGCCUGUGCCAAGUGCAGCUGCAGGAGUCAGGCCCAGGGCUGGUGAAGCCCUCGCAGACCCUCUCCCUCUCCUGUUCUGUCUCUGGUUACUCCAUCACCAGUGGUAACUGUUGGGGCUGGAUCUGCCAGCUCCCAGGAAAGGAGCUGGAGUGGAUCGGGUACAUAUGUUAUGAUGGGAGCACUUACUACAGCCCAUCACUCAAAAGCCGUGUUACCAUCACCAGAGACACCUCCAAGAACCAGUAUUCCCUGCACCUGAGCUCUGUGACUGCAGAGGACACAGCUGUGUAUUACUGUGCCAGACACAACAGGAGCGUAGAACUGCUAUUGUUCUGCACAAAGUAUCACAGAGACAGUUUUAGCCAGUGGCUUUUGGGAGAGCUGCUCCUGGCCACCCUGGUGUGCUAUGAGCUCUGA